rnacentral:ncRNA from 1 species
ACCGGUGCGAAUCCGGUACGGCCCCCGCCACUGUGAUGAGGCAAUCCCGCCUCGAGUCAGG